CCCUACGGGGCGCAGCAGUGGGGAAUAUUGGGCAAUGGGCGCAAGCCUGACCCAGCAACGCCGCGUGAAGGAAGAAGGCUUUCGGGUUGUAAACUUCUUUUGACAGGGAAGAGCAGAAGACGGUACCUAUCGAAUAAGCCACGGCUAACUACGUGCCAGCAGCCGCGGUAAUACGUAGGUGGCAAGCGUUGUCCGGAUUUACUGGGUGUAAAGGGCGUGUAGCCGGGCUGACGAGUCAGAUGUGAAAUCCGGGGGCUCAACCCCCGAACUGCAUUUGAAACUGUAUUUCUUGAGUGCUGGAGAGG
rnacentral:rRNA from 1 species